CUUUCCAACAUCCUGCUCUGUGCAGGGGCAUUCCACUAGACCAAGUUGCUCCAAAUCCCAUCCAACCUGGCCUCGAACUCUUGUAGGGAUAAGGCACUCACACUCUGAGCAGCCUAUGCCAGUGCCUCAGCACCCUCAGAGGAGUUUUAUGCCUAUGUAAUCAGUGCAGACAGCCGUUAAGUAAAUGAAGAGGCAACUAACAAUGUCAGAAAAGAGACCGGGCGGUUCCAGCUGACACUACCCUAAUCUUCCAGGACCCAUUAAAUGGCAGUUUCAACGCA